rnacentral:rRNA from 1 species
UACGUAGGGGGGCGAGCGUUUGUCCGGAUUUAUUGGGCGUAAAGAGCGUGUAGGCGGUUGAGCAAGUCUGCUGUGAAAUCUCCUGGCUCAACCAGGAAGGGUCAGUGGAAACUGCUUAACUUGAGGACGGUAGAGGGGGGUGGAAUUCCGAGUGUAGAGGUGAAAUUCGUAGAUAUUCGGAAGAACACCAGUGGCGAAGGCGGCUCACUGGACUGGUAUUGACGCUGAGGUGCGAAAGCGUGGGGAGCAAACAGG